UACGUAGGGUGCAAGCGUUAAUCGGAAUUACUGGGCGUAAAGCGUGCGCAGGCGGUUUUGUAAGUCUGUCGUGAAAUCCCCGGGCUCAACCUGGGAAUUGCGAUGGAGACUGCAAGGCUGAGAAUCUGGCAGAGGGGGGUAGAAUUCCACGUGUAGCAGUGAAAUGCGUAGAGAUGUGGAGGAACACCGAUGGCGAAGGCAGCCCCCUGGGUCAAGAUUGACGCUCAUGCACGAAAGGCGUGGGGAGCAAACGAGG
rnacentral:rRNA from 1 species